rnacentral:tRNA from 1 species
GUUCUUGUAGUUGAAUAACAAUGGCGGCUUUUCAUGCUGUAGGCCAUGGUUAGACUCCAUGUGAGAAUU